CACGUAGGGCGCAAGCGUUGUCCGGAAUUAUUGGGCGUAAAGAGCUCGUAGGCGGUCUGUUACGUCUGCUGUGAAAACCCGGGGCUUAACCCUGGGCUUGCAGUGGAUACGGGGCAGACUAGAGGCAGGUAGGGGAGAAUGGAAUUCCUGGUGUAGCGGUGAAAUGCGCAGAUAUCAGGAGGAACACCGGUGGCGAAAGGCGGGGUCUCUGGGCCGAUACUGACGCUGAGGAGCGAAAAGCGUGGGGGAGCGAACAGG
rnacentral:rRNA from 1 species